CAAUGUACUGGCCGUAUUAUAUAUACAUCAUAAUGAAAGCUCACCAAUCUUCUUCUUCAUCACUACCACGCACAGCUGAUGCUCGCAUGCGCAAGGCAUCAGCAAGUGAACCAGCUAAGUUGUUGACUUCAGCUGGACUAGCAUUAUUAUUCGCUUGAGCUGCAACAUUAGUCGAAGAAGCGGUGGUUUGAGGUGUAGAACCUUUGUAUUCUGUCACAUAGGUUGCGGGAACCCAUCCUUCAGCACCAUUCUUUAAAGCAAGCCACCACCCGCUUGGCUCCUUUUGAACAAUUUCUAUAAUUUCGUCUUUCUUGAUAGUCAUUUCAUUUGGACUGCGUCCCGCAAAGUCAUAUAAGGCCAAGUACAAGUCUUUCUUUUCGACUUCAGCGGGAGGAGGAGGAGGAGGAGGAGGAACAGCACUAGGCUUGCUGACGUUAUUAGCAACUGGAGCAGAGGGUUUAGAGAUAUUGCUUGGAGAAGAAGCUGCAGAAGUUACCGUGGAAGGAGCUGGUUUAGAAGCAGAAACAGUGGUUGCUUGCUUAAUAGUUGUAGUCGUACUUGUAACUGGGGCUGCAGCUUGAGUUGUAUUAGGACGAGCUUGCAUAGCAGGAGCAGGGGGACGAUUUUGGGUUUGUUGAGCAGUACUUACGGGAUUAGCCAUAGGAGCAGGUUUGCUCUUCGCAGCCGGCAUAGAUACGGGCUUUGUAGCAGCAGGUUUGUUCUGCACAACUGGGCGAGGCCCUCUAGCAGCUGCUGUACUACCACCAGUUGCUAAGCGAGGGAAAGGCUUACUCUUACUGGUAGGAGGCAAGCCAGUACCAACAUGAAUAGUUCCACUCUUGUAGUAGUCAUAAUCCUUAGUGGUUUCGUCUUUUGCCGUCUUAACAGUUUGUACCUUGCCAGGCUUUCGGCAGUAUUGAAUGGUGGGACCCACGAUAACUUGAAUAUUACGAUUGAUUCUCUUUAAGGUAGUUAUAAAUUCUGUUUUGAAAAAGCAUCGCAAAAACAUAUCUCCAUUUUGGCUGGACUUAUUACGAAUUGCAACCCAAUCAUCUUGCAAAUUUGUAAGACCAACAGAAUCGAUGGAAGAUACAGCGAACUUCUUCUCCACCUGUUGUGUGAGCUUUUGGUCAACAAUUUUUGUAAUCACCAAAUAUAAAUUCUUUUUGGUAAGAACCAGUUGACGAGGAGAAGGUUUGGAAGUGCGGCCUAGCUUAUGAACAAGGACCUCACAUCUCAUUGAGAAAAUUACGUGAUCGUUUUGAGAGAGGCCGCAUGUGUUCCAUAGAGUACCAUUAGGCUUUGAAGCUGAUAGAUAAUCUCCAUAAAACUUACGGGAUCCCAAAAUACUAUAUCUUCUGCGUUGCUUUUUACCUUGCAAAAGUUUAGUACCCUCAUUACGAACACGUUCAAGUUCCAUGUUAACUUUGUUCCUAUUCCACAACUUCUGAAUACAAGCAGCAGCUUCAGAUCUUCUUCUAACAUAAGAACGCCAAGCACGUUGUAUACGGGUUGCCAUUGUAUCCCAAAACUUAUCACGCAUGUCUUCGAGCGCGAAUAAGGUCUCCGGAUUUUUAAUGAAAACUUUGCUAGUACCCAUUUGGUAUUCAGAUGAAGGAAUAUUGGUAUCUUUCAAAAUCUGUUCGCAAGCAGACUUAUCAUCACCCUGCCAAGUGUAUUCUCCUGCAUAACUGGUUUUACCACUAAGAACUGCAAAACGCUGAGCAAACGUAUCGAAAGCUUGACGAUAAGCAAAACCAGCACGACGAAUACGAAUGUUUUCUUGCAAACCUAAAUAUUUGAUUUGAUGUAAAACCAUCUGCUGAUCGUAAUCGUUAGGCGACUUAGUCUGAUUGGGUUUAAUCGUACGUAUAUACGAUGGUUGACAUUUCAUAAGAGUCUCUACUAAAUCAUUAGCAGAAGUUUUGAUACGAUCACCAGCUGUAGGAGGACGACGACGGGAGUUACUCUCUUCAGCCACUGGGAAAAUAGAUUUCAUGAACUCGUUGUUGGAAGAAUGAAUAAGGUUAAGAAUAUCAGUUGCUAACUGAUCCUUAUUCUUAUCGGUCAUUCCUGUAAUGCUGUAGGUUACAUCACCAGCGUAAUGUUUGACUAUAAAUUGAUUUUGUCUCUGUUCAAAAUGUGGAUUGGAGGAUAAAAAGUUUAACCGCUGAGCAAAAGCACUAUCCGCCGCAGCAGAGUCAGCAUGAGCGGUAGCGAUAGCGUC
rnacentral:lncRNA from 1 species